GAUUUCCGAAUGGGGAAACCCACUGCUCGUAAUGGAGUAGUAUCCAUACUUGAAUACAUAGAGUAUGAGAAGGCAUACCCGGGGAACUGAAACAUCUAAGUACCCGGAGGAAGAGAAAGCAAAUGCGAUUCCCUGAGUAGCGGCGAGCGAAACGGGAACAGCCCAAACCAAGAGGCUUGCCUCUUGGGGUUGUAGGACACUCUAUACGGAGUUACAAAGGAAUGAUAUAAGCGAAGAGGUCUGGAAAGGCCCGCCAAAGAAGGUAACAGCCCUGUAACUGAAAUGUUAUUCUCUCCAGAGUGGAUCCUGAGUACGGCGGAACACGUGAAAUUCCGUCGAAAUC
rnacentral:rRNA from 1 species